rnacentral:lncRNA from 1 species
CUACGUAAUACCCGUUUGUAGAAAUCGCGUUGUAAUUGCAAAAUUAAACCAACCCGGAACUGAUUAAGUUACUAGAUUAACCUUAAUGACAAUGAAGGGUGAAGGUUAGGAUUAUGUCUUUUUGGUAAUUUUGUUUUUUUUUUUUUUGAAAGAAAAGUGUACUCCUCUUUUACUAUAUAGGGGAUAGAAAAUAUAUCAUAGCAUUUAGUUUUCCUAAACGCUAUUACAAACUUUUAAUAAGUUAUUAAUAGCACAACUACACAAAACGAUGUACUUCAAUGCUAUAAAAAACCAAUAUUCCUGUAGUGUGGAUUUCAGAACGUCAAUGUUGAAGGAAUGAAGAUUCAUUGCAGUUGAUCUAAC